rnacentral:rRNA from 1 species
UACGUAGGGGGCAAGCGUUGUCCGGAAUCAUUGGGCGUAAAGCGCGUGUAGGCGGCUUGGUAAGUCUGCUCUGAAAGCCCGGGGCUCAACCCCGGGGGCGGAGUGGAUGACUGUCAAGCUCGAGUCCGGAAGAGGAGUGUGGAAUUCCUGGUGUAGCGGUGAAAUGCGCAGAUAUCAUGAGGAAGACCGGUGGCGAAGGCGGAUCUCUGGACAGUUCCUGACACUGAGGCACGAAGGCUAGGGGAGCAAACGGG